rnacentral:rRNA from 1 species
ACUCCUACGGGAGGCAGCAGUGGGGAAUAUUGGACAAUGGGCGCAAGCCUGAUCCAGCCAUGCCGCGUGAGUGAUGAAGGCCUUAGGGUUGUAAAGCUCUUUUGUCCGGGACGAUAAUGACGGUACCGGAAGAAUAAGCCCCGGCUAACUUCGUGCCAGCAGCCGCGGUAAUACGAAGGGGCUAGCGUUGCUCGGAAUCACUGGGCGUAAAGGGCGCGUAGGCGGCCAUUCAAGUCGGGGGUGAAAGCCUGUGGCUCAACCACAGAAUUGCCUUCGAUACUGUUUGGCUUGAGUUUGGUAGAGGUUGGUGGAACUGCGAGUGUAGAGGUGAAAUUCGUAGAUAUUCGCAAGAACACCAGUGGCGAAGGCGGCCAACUGGACCAAUACUGACGCUGAGGCGCGAAAGCGUGGGGAGCAAACAGGAUUAGAUACCCUGGUAGCGAG